rnacentral:misc_RNA from 1 species
UUUCCGUAGGUGAACCUGCGGAAGGAUCAUUAAAUAGUACCACAGAUUACAUAUGCAAAUAUGACAAUCUACUACUAUAUACCAUUCCGAGUACUCUUUUUCCAUGUUGCUUCCGCGAGGCAGUCACUUCAAGUGGCCGUUUGCUCCGGAUCUCCCUUCUUGGAGAGCCGGCUGUGGGCGAGAUUUCCUUGCGAAAGGUCAAUUACAAAUCCAAUUAUGUUUUUAUUUUGUGUCUGAAUAGAUUUUUUUUUUUUUUCUUUUUUUAAUUAACAAUGAAAAUUAGCAUCAUGAUUCCAUUAUCCCGUUCAGGGUAAUUUUUUCCCGUGUUGUUUCCGGAUGGAAGUGCCUUCAAGUGGCGGUUUGAACUGGACUUCCCUUUUUGUGGGCCCGGUGUUGGGAGGGAUUUCCUUGCGAAAGUUCAAUUACAAAUCAAAUUAUGUUUUAAUUUUGUGUCUGAAUAGAUUUUUUUUUUCUUUCUUUUUUUAAUUAAUAAAUACAAAAAAAAUAAAAUAAAAUACAAAACUUUCAACAACGGAUCUCUUGGUUCUC